UGGGAGUACAAUGUUAUCCUAAAUAAGAGGAAUGACCUCUGAAGCCACUACAUGUAGAAUAGUGAUGUGAUAAUAGUAUCUUCAAAGUUGUUUGUGGAUUGUUCUGUAAAAACAGUUUGCUUUGAGCCCAUUCCUUCUCAGUCUCAGAGUGUAAAACUACCACUUGAUUGUGCCAAGGUCAGAAAAGUCCUGAAUCUACACAUAGUGGCUGUGUUAACAAGCAUGGAGGUUUCAGUACUUGGAGGUAGAGCUGGUUCACGUGCCAGGACUGAGGCAGGGGCCCACCAAACUGGAAAACGUUUCCCAUACGGUUCCAGGCAAGAAACGCCGGGCCAGAGAAGAACUCUUCAAUCUCUGACUGGUUCAACCCAAGAGCUCGGUAAACCUAAAAAGAUCUUGUAAGGAACAUCAUCACUUUCAGCCUCAGCUCUUACCUCUUGCCACAGGGCUUCUUGGCCAGUGAAAGCCAGCGGCAGAUUGAUUCCAUUGAGUGCCAUCCAGUCGAUCUCUCUUUCCCAUCUCGUCCAGUCCCACCACACAGAGGAAUAGCUAAAAGUGCAGACGUUCUGAUCUGAAACCCAGGUGGAGGCACGGAUCUCUGCUUGUCUGGCUGACAUCUCUCAGUGGAUGUCCGCACAUCACUUAAAGCUCAACCUCAACAAGACCGAACUCCUUUUCCUUCCGGGAAAGGGCUCUGCCAUCCAAGACCUUACCAUCAACAUCGACACCUAGAUUGUUUCCCCCACUUGGACUGCAAGUAAUCUGGAUGUGACACUGGACGACCAACUGUCCUUCGGUGCCAACAUCGCUACUACAACCCGCUCUUGCAGACACACUCUGUACAACAUCAGGAGGAUACGUCCCCUACUGACUUAGAAGGCGACUGAGGUUCUUGUCCAGGCUCUGGUCAUCUCACUGACUACUGCAACU